AUUGAACGCUGGCGGCAUGCCUUACACAUGCAAGUCGAACGGCAGCACGGGUGCUUGCACCUGGUGGCGAGUGGCGAACGGGUGAGUAAUAUAUCGGAACGUACCUUAUCGUGGGGGAUAACGCAGCGAAAGCUGUGCUAAUACCGCAUAAGCCCUAAGGGGGAAAGCAGGGGACCGUAAGGCCUUGCGCGACUAGAGCGGCCGAUACCUGAUUAGCUAGUUGGUGAGGUAAAGGCUAACCAAGGCAACGAUCAGUAGCUGGUCUGAGAGGACGAUCAGCCACACUGGGACUGAGACACGGCCCAGACUCCUACGGGAGGCAGCAGUGGGGAAUUUUGGACAAUGGGGGCAACCCUGAUCCAGCAAUGCCGCGUGAGUGAAGCAGGCCUUCGGGUUGUAAAGCUCUUUUGUCAGGGAAGAAACAGCAGCUCUAAUACAGUAUGCGAAUGACGGUACCUGAAGAAUAAGCACCGGCUAACUACGUGCCAGCAGCCGCGGUAA
rnacentral:rRNA from 1 species